rnacentral:tRNA from 1 species
GGAGAGAUGGCCGAGUGGUUUAAGGCGCUCGACUCGAAAUCGAGUAGGCUGCCAAAAGCGGCCUCGUGGGUUCGAAUCCCACUCUCUCCG